CCUACGGGAGGCAGCAGUGAGGAAUAUUGGUCAAUGGGCGUAAGCCUGAACCAGCCAAGUCGCGUGAGGGAUGAAGGUUCUAUGGAUCGUAAACCUCUUUUAUAAGGGAAUAAAGUGCUGGACGUGUCGGGUUUUGUAUGUACCUUAUGAAUAAGGAUCGGCUAACUCCGUGCCAGCAGCCGCGGUAAUACGGAGGAUCCGAGCGUUAUCCGGAUUUAUUGGGUUUAAAGGGUGCGUAGGUGGCUUUUUAAGUCAGCGGUGAAAGUCUGUGGCUCAACCGUAGAAUUGCAGUUGAAACUGGGAGGCUUGAGUAUAUUAGAGGCAGGCGGAAUGCGUGGUGUAGCGGUGAAAUGCUUAGAUAUCACGAAGAACCCCGAUUGCGAAGGCAGCUCGCCAAGC
rnacentral:rRNA from 1 species